GAGACUCUGUGCGCGUGCAUAUCAAUAAGCGGAGGAAAAGAAACUAACAAGGAUUCCCCUAGUAACGGCGAGUGAAGCGGGAAGAGCUCAAAUUUGAGAUCUUAAAGGGUUUCCCUUUACGAAUUGUAGUUUAAAGAAGUGUUUUCUGUUGGAGUUUCGGUAAAAGUUCUUUGGAAUAGGACAUCAUAGAGGGUGAGAAUCCCGUAUUUGACCGUUACUUUCCAGCUGUGUGAUACACUUUCAAAGAGUCGGAUUGUUUGGGAAUGCAGUCCAAGAUGGGUGGUAAAUUUCAUCUAAAGCUAAAUAUUGGCGAGAGACCGAUAGCGAACAAGUACCGUGAGGGAAAGAUGAAAAGAACUUUGAAAAGAGAGUUAAACAGUACGUGAAAUUGUCAAAAGGGAAGCGUUUGACACCAGUGUUGUUUAGCUCGAAAAUCAAUUAAAUAUGUCUUGAUUUGUAAGUUAGUAUUGACUUUAUCAGCUUGCUGCCUUUUUCUCAUGUAACUUAUUGAAUGCACUUUUCAGUUAACAAGUCAACAUCAAUUUCUUUUGUUGUAAAAGGAGUCGAUUGGAAGGUGGCUUGCGCUUUCGGAUAAAGUGUUUAUAGCCUUUUAUCUUCUGCAGUCGGAGAGAUUGAGGUCUGCAGCGUAGAUCCUUCGGGGUUAGAUACAUUUAUGCUAAGUUAUAGCCUUUUCAUAGACAACUUGUUGACUGUGAUCUAGUCAUGUAGCUUACUCGCUGAUGUCUAUUUUACCUACGCUUAGGAUGUUGAAGUCAUCGUAUCGCGC
rnacentral:rRNA from 1 species